UUUCCCCUCUCCCCUGUAAAUCCUAGCCGUCGUGGUCCCCUUGGGAUUCUCUCUCUGUGUCAUCGUCCCAAAUGUGGUAAUGUGCAGUGUGUGGCUUGCUUUAUACGAUAUUUGUUCGACUAUUUGAGGGAACAUAAUUAAUGUGUUACCCUCUCUUCGUCAAUCACCAUCCAAACAAGGUAUUAGCGUGCUUUUCUUUUGCUUUUCCGAACUUUCAAAUGGUCAAAUCUUUUCUUCCUUAAUGGAUUUUGUUGGUAUGUGUUUGAAAUCACAAUUUUUGAUUGGUUCAUGAAGAAUCCUAUGGAUUGAUUCUUUGCUGGCAUAAUCUGGUCCUUUGGUUGUUGUUUUAACUCAAUCCUAACCCUACAACAAUGAUUGGUGAGGAGGAAAUCCCAAAGUUAGGAUUUAUCCCACAUCGUAAAUCUAGGGUUUGACAGGUUUGAAGAACUGCUAUAAAAAGAGUCAUUUACCCGCUUUUUAAAAAAAAGAAGAAAUUUUUUUCCCCACAAAAAAUAGAACUUAAACUCAAGUUUUGGCAAUAUUUUGCUUUGAGACUAAGAGUUUAAGAAGUUUAAAUUUUAAAAUCUUGCUUGUGCUGUGUGGUUGAGUCUGGAUUUGGGAGUAAAGUAUUUUUAAUUCCUAUUCUCGACAAGGUUGCACCAACAAAAGAUGGUUACCCUCUUUGCUUGCAUAAAAUACUAUCCUUUGGGCCCUUCCUAUUGCAUAAAAACCAUUAGGCCAAAGGCCCAAUUUCUCUUCUUGGUGGAGUCCGUCUGAGAAGUAAAUGGGAAAUGGAAGCAAAUAUAUUUGAAGGCCCAAUCAAUGGGUGAAAAUGACACUGAUAGGCUUGGGUAGGCCCAUCAGUUUGAAAAUAAAUAUUUUUUCUCUCUUUACCUUAUUUGAUAUGUAUAUGUUGUAUAUCAAACAUAUGAAAUAGUGAAACCCCUAUGCAUGUGUAGAUUUAAGAAAUCAAACGCUUAGUA